CAGUCGCCACGGUAAUACAAAGGAUGCAAGCGUUAUCCGGAAUGAUUGGGCGUAAAGCGUCUGUAGGUGGCUUUUCAAGUCCACCGUCAAAUCCCAGGGCUCAACCCCGGACAGGCGGUGGAAACUACCACGCUAGAGUAUGGUAGGGGCAGAGGGAAUUUCCGGUGGAGCGGUGAAAUGCGUAGAGAUCAGGAGGAACACCGAUGGCGAAGGCAGCCCCCUGGGCCUGUACUGACGCUCAUGCACGAAAGCGUGGGGAGCAAACAGGAUUAGAGACCCCCGUAGUCCCUGUCUCUUAUAC
rnacentral:rRNA from 1 species